AGGAAACUAAUGUAUAUGGGCAUAAGUCUAACUGCUAAAUUUCAAUUCUAAUGUAGGUGAGAAAGAGAAAGAAAUACAUAGGCAGAGAGAACACACAGAUCUACUGAAAAGAUAGACAUGGUCCAAGACAAAGACAUCCACAAAAGGCGAGAUCCUGUACGCACGUGAGAGAACCAAAUCAAAACUUUCUUAAACAUUUCAGUGGAAAAUGGUUGCUGCUUUCCAUGUUUCCUGAAAGCAUCUCAGUGGACCUGUGCGACACAAAAUGUUGGAUUAAAUUAACUCCUCUCCUGAUCUGGCAUCGCUUCUGUUCAAGAUCUGUGUUGUGGCCCGCCAACGGCCUGCGUGGAUUGUGGCUGAUCCCGAC